rnacentral:rRNA from 1 species
AGUGAACGCUGGCGGUAGGCCUAACACAUGCAAGUCGAACGGCAGCACAGUAAGAGCUUGCUCUUACGGGUGGCGAGUGGCGGACGGGUGAGGAAUACAUCGGAAUCUACUUUUUCGUGGGGGAUAACGUAGGGAAACUUACGCUAAUACCGCAUACGACCUACGGGUGAAAGCAGGGGAUCUUCGGACCUUGCGCGAUUGAAUGAGCCGAUGUCGGAUUAGCUAGUUGGCGGGGUAAAGGCCCACCAAGGCGACGAUCCGUAGCUGGUCUGAGAGGAUGAUCGGGGACACAGGAACUGAGAAAAGGUGCAGGGUGCUACGGUGGGCAGCAGUCGGGAAGCGUGCGAAAUGGGCGAAAGCCUGACAGAGCCAUUGCGAGUGAGAGAAGAAGGGCUUCGGAACUUCAAAGCCUGUUAGAAGGGAAGAACAGAUGUGGAAGUAACUGUGCACAUCUUGACGGUACCGAAUCAGAAAGCCACGGCUAACCACGUG